rnacentral:rRNA from 1 species
UAGCUAGUUGGCGGGGUAACGGCCCACCAAGGCGACGAUCAGUAGCCGGCCUGAGAGGGUGAACGGCCACACUGGAACUGAGACACGGUCCAGACUCCUACGGGAGGCAGCAGUGGGGAAUAUUGCACAAUGGGGGAAACCCUGAUGCAGCGACGCCGCGUGAGCGAAGAAGGCCUUCGGGUCGUAAAGCUCUGUCCUAAAGGAAGAUAGUGACGGUACCUUAGGAGGAAGCCCCGGCUAACUACGUGCCAGCAGCCGCGGUAAUACGUAGGGGGCGAGCGUUAUCCGGAAUUAUUGGGCGUAAAGGGUUCGCAGGUGGUCUGUUAAGUCAGAUGUGAAAGGCAGUGGCUCAACCAUUGCAAGCAUUUGAAACCGGCAGACUUGAGUACAGGAGAGGAAAGCGGAAUUCCUAGUGUAGCGGUGAAAUGCGUAGAUAUUAGGAGGAACACCAGUGGCGAAGGCGGCUUUCUGGACUGAAACUGACACUGAGGAACGAAAGCGUGGGGAGCAAACAGGAUUAGAUACCCUGGUAGUCCACGCCGUAAACGAUGAGUGCUAGGUGUUGGGGGUCGAACCUCAGUGCCGCAGCUAACGCAUUAAGCACUCCGCCUGGGGAGUACGGUCGCAAGACUGAAACUCAAGGAAUUGACGGGGACCCGCACAAGUAGCGGAGCAUGUGGUUUAAUUCGAAGCAACGCGAAGAACCCUUACCAAGGCUUGACAUCCCUCUGACCGCACUAGAGAUAGUGCUUCUCUUCGGAGCAGAGGUGACAGGUGGUGCAUGUUGUCGUCAGCUCGUGUCGU